GUUGGCCCAAUAAGUUUUUGUUUUAGGUGGGCCCAUUGGGCUUUGUUUUAAACUACAAUUUGGAUACCGAAGAUCAGAAUAGCCCAUUGGGCUUGCUCCAUUUUCCUAUCCGGACCAAUUUGCUUUGGGCUCGAAAUCAAGCUCCCAGUUCUUCUCUGAGACACGCUCGCUCACUCUUGCUAGAGGUGCUUCCAUGGAUUCCGAAACCCCAAAAAUCCGAGCGGUUCUGAAUUCUCCUUCUUCCUACUAGACUUUCGCCUUCAAAUUAUGGUUUCUACAGGGUUUAUCAUAUCGUCGUCAAUUUGGUAUCCUCCAAUUACCAGCUCUAAACCAGCUCUCAUUUACUGCACAACACACAUCACAUACAGAGUUUGAGAUACAGUGUAACUGUCUGCGUCACAUAGCUCCAAAUGGUUCUUCGAUGGCGUCAUGCUCAUCCGUUCGUCGGCUCGUCGUUCUUUCACAUCCCACCUCCUUCCCGAAUCCUGGAGCUCCGACCCAUGUUCUUAUACUCUCCAUAAUAUAAAGUAUUCAGUGCAAAUUCACCAUCCCACUCCAACCAACCUGCUGGAUCAACCAAACUAUCGAGGUCAUCUGUGGCCAUGACACGCGAGUUGUGGAUCGAAAUGCCAGUAUUUUGGUUUGGAUCAGUCCGUCCUUGAGCAGUGACUGCAUUCUUCUG